rnacentral:tRNA from 1 species
GGCGGUGUAGCUCAGUGGCAGAGCAGGGGACUCAUAAGCCCUUGGUCGGUGGUUCAAAUCCACUCGCCGCCA